GUAAGGCUAUGGUAAAUACUAACAUUAAGCUCUCCUUAUGUGCCACACACAGUUCCUUCACCAAAAUGGGCAGAAUUUUAGCUGAAGACUAAUAGUGAAGCCUAGACAUUCAUGCAGAAAUUAAACAACUCGACCAUUAUUAGAAUAUAGUAAACAUAUACAUGUUCAAUACCAGCCUCUUCUUUUCUCACUUUAUGUUUUUUGAAUGUCAUUAGAUUUACAUAUCCUGCUAACAUAACAUAAAAACAAACCUUAAGUUUCAAGAAAUUAACAAUUCUAGUUACAUACUAUUUACAUGUUUUUCUUAUUAACUAUUAGUUAUUUCAAAAUUUACCUUUUAUGUUUGGAGAUAAAAAAUAUCUAAUAGAAAGGUAGUUUUUUGAGAAGAAUUCAUUUUUAUUAUUUUUAUUUUUAUUUCUUUAUCUUUUUUUUGAGACAACUUCUUAUUCUGUCACCCAGGUUGGAGUGCAGUGGCGUGAUGUUGGCUCACUGCAACCUCUGCCUCCCAGGUUCAGGUGAUUCUCCUGCUUCAGCCUCCUGAGCAGGUGGGAUUAGAGUAGCUUGCCACCAUGCCUGGCUAAUUUUUGUAUUUUUAGUAAACAUGGAGUUUUACCAUGUUGGCUAGGCUGGUCUUGAACUCGUGACCUCAAGUGAUCCAUCCUCCUCAGCCUCCUAAAGUACUGGGAUUACAGGCAUGAGCUACUGCACCUGGCUCUUUUUUAAUUAUUUUGAAAGGCUACUUUAGUUUUCCUAGUAAUCCAUGUGAAUGUAUUCUCUAUGAACUAUAGUGUGUGUGUUUACUUUUUAUAUAUAGAAUACUACUGAGGAACAAGCUGUUUCUGUAAAUCAAAUGGGACUGAAACUCUACGUUGGUUGUGUUCUACAUGUUACAGAGACCUGGACAGAGACAGUAUGAUCAUCUCAUGAACAUCACAUAAUCUCCUGUCACAGUCCCAAGACAAAACAUUUCCUUAAAAUCAAGACUUGCUUUAAUAACCAUCACAUUUAUUACAAUAAUACCUUCCCACUAUAAUCAAUAUGGAUAUAAACAGCCUUUGUUCUAUUUUUCUCAUACUUGGAAGACUUUUGCUUUCAUUCUGUGAAAAUCUUGUAUUUCUCCUCAAUUAUUCUAAUUAGAAAACUAGUGCUGGGGGAGAAAAAAUAAAACAGCACAGAAAGGAAAGGGCCUCCUGCAAUGCACUGUUUAGACAGAUAAGGUAGCCAGGCCAGGCGAUGGUCAGGUAGGGACUGCCUUCUUCUCUCUGGUGGUGAUAAUUGAGAAUUGCUGCGAGGUGUGGAAGUGGAGCUGAUUGAGCCAGAGCACAGUCCAGCUUUGUUCCAUGUUCUCUACAUAAAAUAAUCCAUAAUCUUCAGCAUUAAGACCUCAUGAUCUCAUGUUUUGAGAAGGAGAGUUGAGAAACACCUACUAGUCUUAUGAUAGGUUGAGUACUUUAAAGAGUUUUGGGCCAGGUGCGGUGGCUCACGCCUGUAAUCCCAGCACUUUGGGAGGCUGAGGCACAUGGAUCACGAGGUCAGGAGAUCAAGUCCAUCCUGGCCAACACAGUGAAACCCUGUCUCCACUAAAAAUACAAAAAAUUAGCCGAGCAUGGUGGCCUGCACCUGUAGUCCCAGCUACUCGGGAGGCUGAGGCAAGAAAAUCGCUUGAUCUGGGGAGGUGGAAAUUGCAUGAGCUGAGAUUGCACCACUGCACUCCAGCCUGGGUGACAGAGUUAGACUCCAUCUCAAAAAAAAAAAAAAAAAAAGAAUUUUGAAGCUUCUUAAUUCCAUUUAUUUAAGACAUUAUUCUCAUUGGGAUUAGGGGGGAAUCCCUGAAUUUUGGUAAAAACAAAUCCAAGUCACAAAAUCAGAAAAAAAAAAAAGGGAAGAUAUAGGAUGAUGCGUUUCAUUCUUCAUAUGAAUAUGCAUUUUACACAUAUAUAACUAAGACCAAUUUUGGAUUUAUUUCCAGGCUUGGGGAUAACUUAUGGAAACUUUUAACGUUAAAGUUAAAUUUGCAAUUCAGAAUUAAUCCAUACAUUAUUUCACUGUUUUCUUGUUGAUAUUAAAUGCUGCUGACUCAGUAAAGUUUAUUAUUUGAAUA
rnacentral:lncRNA from 10 species